rnacentral:rRNA from 1 species
AUGCCUUUCCUCCCCAUUGUUUUCACCUUGCUCUUCUUCCUACGCGCCCCAGCAAGUUCUGCCGCGACGGACACCAUCUUCGCCGGCCAAGCACUUGGUGUCAACGACAACCUCGUCUCCAAGAAUGGCAGGGACACACCAAUCAAGAACACCACCUCACUGGAGCUCACAAUCUCCCACGAUGGGAAUCUGGUCAUCUUAAACCGGUCCACCAAGUCCAUAAUCUGGUCUACAGAAGCAAACAUCACAAGAAAUAGCACCACUGCCAUGCUGCUGAGUAGUGGAAAUUUCAUCCUAGUAGACUCUUCAAACUCAUCAGUUCUGUGGCAGAGCUUUGAUCAUCCCACAGAUACACUUCUCCCCGGAGCAAAGCUUGGAUGGGACAAGCUCACUGGCCUCAACCGUCGUUUAGUUUCUUGGAAGAACUUGAACAACCCAGCUACUGGUGUGUAUAGUGAUGAGAUAGGUCUCUCGUUUAGCCUAAACCAGUUCUUCCUAGCGCCACAUAACAACUCCAUGCCAUAUUGGUCGACAGGUAUAUACAAUGGCGAAAACUUUUACUCAAAUUCAGGGAUGUUGACACAAAAUCCACUUUUAAGUGCAACAGUUGUUGGCACUGACCAAGAGAUGUACUGGACAUAUAAUUUAGUAAAAGAAGAUAUCGUUACUCGAAAUAUUAUUGACAGCUCAGGUAAAGUUAAGAUGUUCUUUUGGUCCAAGCAGGCACAGGAUUGGCAAGUGGUCUAUACCCAACCACUAGCUCCGUGUGAUGUCUAUGCAAUCUGUGGACCUUUCACAAUUUGCAAUGAUAAUGAGCUCCCAUAUUGCAAUUGUAUGGAGGGCUUCAACAUAACAUCCCCCGUGGACUGGGAUCUACAAGAUCGAACCGGUGGCUGCUCGAGAAUUACUCCGUUAGAAUGCAUUGGCAAUAAAAGCACAACUCAUACUACAGAUAAGUUCUACUUGGUGUCAUGUGUUACGCCUCAGACUGCCCCAAAAGUAGAAGCUGCUACAAGCGCGAGUGAAUGUGCACAAGUUUGCCUGAAUGAUUGCUCUUGCACCGCCUAUUCCUUCAGUGACAGCAGAUGUUCUAUCUGGCAUAAUGAAUUGCUCAACAUAAGAGCACUGCAAUGUAGUGGCAGUACAAGUUCAACUGGAGAAACUCUUUACCUUCGUGUUUCUGCUGAAGAUUUCCACAGAGUGAAAAACAACAGAAAGGGGAUUGUUAUCGGAGUUGCAACUGGUACAGGUGUUUCUGCUCUAGGAUUAUUUGCACUUGUUCUCCUGGUAAAGAUUUGGAGAAACAGAAGUAAGAGCUCCAAUAUACUGGAUUGUGUUCAAGGUUGUACCAGAAUCAUUGCCUUUAGAUACACUGAUUUACAGCAUGUCACAACAAAAUUCAGAGAUAAAUUGGGGGCAGGCAGUUUUGGUUCUGUAUUCAAGGGGGUUUUAAAUGACUCGGUAGCUAUAGCAGUGAAAAGGCUUGACGGUGCUUAUCAAGGAGAGAAGCAAUUCAGAGCUGAAGUGAGCUCGAUUGGAGCUGUCCAACACAUCAAUUUAGUUAAGCUUGUCGGUUUCUGUUGUGAGGGUUCCAAUAGGUUGCUUGUUUACGAAUACAUGUCAAACCGCUCUCUUGAUGUCCAUUUAUUUCGAAACAAUCCGAUGAUAUUGAGUUGGACUACUAGAUAUCAGAUAGCCAUAGGGGUUGCUCGAGGUUUAGCCUACUUGCAUGAGGGAUGUCGAGACUGCAUCAUACACUGUGAUAUUAAGCCAGAAAACAUACUUCUUGAUGAUUCAUUCAUUCCCAAAGUUGCAGACUUUGGAAUGGCAAAGCUUUUGGGAAGGGAAUUUAGCCGAGUACUGACUACAAUGAGAGGAACUGCAGGGUACCUUGCACCUGAAUGGAUCAGUGGUGUUGCUGUUACACAAAAAGUCGAUGUGUAUAGCUAUGGGAUGAUGUUGCUGGAAAUUAUAUCUGGAAAAAGGAAUUCAAGUGCAUCAUUUUCUAGUGGUGGCAACUUUGAUGUUUAUUUCCCUGUUCAUGCCGCACACAAGCUUCUUGAAGGAGACGUUGGGAGUUUGGUCGAUCAAAGUCUACAUGGUGAUGUCAGUCUGGAUGAGGCUGAACUCGCUUGCAAGGUUGCAUGUUGGUGCAUUCAAGACAACGAGCUUGACAGACCAACAAUGGGACAGAUAGUUCAGAUUCUCGAAGGGCUAGUUGAGAUCAGGAUGCCCCCGGUACCAAGACACCUCGAAGCUAUGGCUUAA